GCUUAACGCGAAGAACCUUACCUGGGCUAGAAAGCGUAAGAACCUUGGUGAAAACUGAGGGUGCCCUUCGGGGAACUUACGAUUAGGUGCUGCAUGGCUGUCGUCAGCUCGUGUCGUGAGAUGUUGGGUUAAGUCCCGCAACGAGCGCAACCCUUGUUGUUAGUUGCCAGCAUUAAGUUGGGCACUCUAACAAGACUGCCGACCUUUAAGUCGGAGGAAGGUGGGGAUGACGUCAAGUCCUCAUGGCCCUUACGUCCAGGGCUACACACGUGCUACAAUGACCGGUACAAAGGGUUGCCAAACCGCGAGGUGGGGCCAAUCCCAAAAAGCCGGCCUCAGUACGGAUAAGAGUCUGCAACUCGACUCUUUGAAGGCGGAAUCGCUAGUAAUCCCUGAUCAGCAUAGCAGGGGUGAAUACGUUCCCGGGUCUUGUACACACCG
rnacentral:rRNA from 1 species